AGAUUGAACGCUGGCGGCAUGCCUAACACAUGCAAGUCGAACGGGAGUAGCAAUACUCUAGUGGCGGACGGGUGAGGAAUACGUAGGAAUUUGCCCUUAAGUGGGGGAUAACCCGGGGAAACCCGGAUUAAUACCGCAUGACCUCGAAAGAGCAAAGUGGGGGAUCGCAAGACCUCACGCUUUUGGAGAAGCCUACGUCGGAUUAGCUAGUUGGUGAGGUAAUGGCUCACCAAGGCGACGAUCCGUAACUGGUCUGAGAGGAUGAUCAGUCACACCGGAACUGAGACACGGUCCGGACUCCUACGGGAGGCAGCAGUGGGGAAUAUUGGACAAUGGGCGCAAGCCUGAUCCAGCAAUGCCGCGUGUGUGAAGAAGGCCUUCGGGUCGUAAAGCAACGUUUAAGGUUAGGGAAGAAAAACGUCGACUACUAACACAGUAGAGUCUUGACGGUACCGACAGAAUAAGACACCGGACUAACUCUAGUCGACCAGACACGCCGUC
rnacentral:rRNA from 1 species